rnacentral:lncRNA from 1 species
UUAUGGGAGUACCAUCCACAGAGAAGCUGAAAAUUAAGUAAACAUUGAUAAGUCUAAGCAGAUUGAAUGACAAGGAAAGAAGAAAUGAUGGAGAUUGAAGGAAAAUAUUGCUUACACAAUGCGCUGAGGAUUCCAGAGGAUAGAAUAGGUGUGAAAGUCAGCAGUGGGGUCAAACCAGAGGUGAAAUUGUUGUUCUUUGUCACCUUUGCCAUUUGUGAAUACAUUGGUAUGCAGAGUGUAAGGGUCUGAGGAUUCCAGAGGAUAGAAUAGGUGCUGAGGAUUCCAGAGGAUAGAAUAGGUGUGAAAGUCAGCAGUGGGGUCAAACCAGAGGUGAAAUUGUUGUUCUUUGUCACCUUUGCCAUUUGUGAAUACAUUGGUAUGCAGAGUGUAAGGGUCACCACUUAAAUUCCCCAAGAACUCGAAGUCUAUCUCAUCCCAUGUUGAUCCUGGCGAUUUUAACUGCGUGAACAAAAAGUCAAAGGUCUAUAUGUCAGAUACAUGAUGAUCAAACAUGCAUAUUGUUUAUUCAUAUAAAGGGUGAUGAUCAAACAUGCAUAUUGUUUAUUCAUAUAAAGGCAGGAACUUACAUAAUAAGCAGUGACAGUGCCGGCAGAGUUGCCAGGGACUAGUUUGAGUUGCAUAUCAAUCUUGCCGAAUAGAUACUCAUUCUUGGACUGGAAGCCGGAGCCAGAGGCUUUAUCAAGGGAAAGAGUAAGAAGCUGGCCGUUGUUGAGUAUAUUAGCACGCCCGUCUCCCCAAGUGAUAUCAAAAUCUUGGUGGAAGUUACCAGCAGAGGUAACCAUCAAAGAGCCAAGAAGCAGCAGCGACAGAUGCAAUACUGAAGCCAUGGAAGCUUUCGUCUGAGCAACAACAAGAUAGAAGAAAUUGAGUUGGAGAGAAGUUUGAAAUUUUUUAAAGUGAAGCGAUGAGUGUGUUUAGGACCUUACCAGGGUUUGGUAUUUAUAGCUUGAUUGAGCUGGUGAAGGUGAGUAUAACGAAAGCAGAGGAAAGUAAUGGGAAGCUCCAGUUAGUUCAGCUUCAGCUGUGGCCAGUUGUUUGCGUAAAAUAGCGUGAUGAAAUAAAAACAGCUGUCCGAAUCGCACUAACAGAACACGCUACAACAGGGACUUUUUUUAAUUACAAUACGCGGCUUUGCAUAUUUUUGAGACUCAAGUACUUAUUCUGUACUGCUGUUAUGUUCCCAUCACCGGCUGACUCUUAUUAGCUUUUUUUUUUUCCAGCCACCACCAGUCAAAACACAAAAAAGAAAAUGUAGAAUUCACUGGGUACUCUUCUCUCUCGAGAUUUUCAUUUUUUUUUUUUUUGCAUUUUAUGCUCAAAAGAAAAAGAAAAAGAAAAAAUUGCUCAAUGACCUACUUAAUUAACAGAUUUUUUCGAUAACUAUAUUUAUUAUCAGGAAAUCAUUUAAUUCAAAAGCUUAAGACGUUAAACAGGAGUCCAGAAAAUAGCAUUAAAGUGUUAAAAGACCUGCCCAUGUGAAACAUGGAUCCAGUUUGAAGGUCAUGUCGUUCCAAAAGCGGAGAUAGGAGAUUAAAUUAGAGGUUCUUGAACAUACAAGAAUUGAAACAUAUACGUGUGUUAUUCGCAAAAAAUUGAGCACGCUGAGAUUUGAACAAGAAACCUUUGCUAUGUAAAAACGAAAUUGGCUUGACCCAAGAAAAUUAAAGACAAGUCUUUACUGGAGUCCCUAACACUAAUCAUGGAUCUAACAUCUAAGAAAUAUGUAUCCCAAGAUACCGAUACACAUGCUUCCUAGUAACAUGAAACUGUGAAUUUGUUUCCAAAUUUUAGGUUAAUUGAUAACACAUGCUUCCUGGUGGGUUCGUGUGUAAUAAAACACAUAUAGAACUUGAAGAUAUGCUUAUUAUUAUUAUUAUUAUUAAGGAAUUUAUAGAUAUUGGUAUUUAAAUCGAACGGACUGAAGAUUUUGCUGUGUACAAAAGCCCUGUUUCCUGUUUUGUAUAUUACCACUUAUACUAGAGAAUGUUUAAUUUGUUUAUCUGGAAAGGCGGUGGUGUCCUGGCGGGGUUGACUCGCCUUGAAAAAUCAACACUUGAGAGCUGGCUCGCAGCUUGUCCCCCUCUCAUUAUUAAUUAACACGUACAACAAUAACAGUAUGCAUCACUCUUCCUCAUCGACUUGUGCAAGUUCACUCAGUUAUUUUUUUAGUUUAUUUCUGCCAUUUUACCCUUUUACUGCCUUAUCUAAAUACUAAUCAAUGGCCAAAAUUUCUCCUCGAUUGACACAAAUACGGUAACGCUCACACGCAGUAUAUUUUCUUCUCAUUCUGGUGGAGACUCAUUUGCUCUUAUCUUCAUGCUUCCUCGAUAAUUCGUCAUAUUCCAAUCUAGGGUCUAAAAGCUUUAUUAAUGAGUCAUCAUGUCAAUACCUUUAAUUAGGCUUAUAACUAUAUGCUAAAGCUUACGAAGAAUAACAACAAAGAAGAACAAAAUCUUUUGAAAUAGUAAUAUUAUGUUUACUUAGUUAGCAUACUUAAUUUGUAUACCACGCAAGUACGCAUAACAUUAUCCUUUUUUAAAUUCAUUAACCAGUGUUACAUAUGGUAAAAAUUGGACUAAUAUGCCAUUUUAUUGAUUACAGAGAAACAAAGAAUCUGACUCCAGAAUCUACAUGAAUUGAAUAACCAUUGAAUGAUUACACGAAAGAAUAAAAUAAUUUUUAAGCGUCUUGUUGAUUAUUUUCUCUAGGAGGUUCUGCAUUCUGCAGGAAGGCCCUGAGGAAAUCUCUUUGUAUCAGCGCAGUAAUUGUAAAUCAUGUAAUUCUUCUGCACCCAUUUCAGCCUACUUUGAUUUGUUGAAUCUAGCUCUUGUGAGAACCAAGCACCGUUGCUGGAUGUAGAGGAAGCAGAAUUUGAAGCGCAAGAAGAUUUUCCAUUAGACCAAACACAAGCUUCAGCAUUAAAGUUUCUGUAGGAAGCAGUGAAAGGAGCAUGUGUCCAAUCUGUCUUCACGAGGCCACCUCUUGUGGCCCAGUCAUCAGCAUUCCAGAGAGAAGAGUAUAUUCUCAUUGGCUGAUUCUUUGGGAACGGAACGCCAAUUGACUCUGAGUUCUUAAAUUCUCUUAUGGGCGUGCCAUCAACAGAGAAGCUGAAAAUUAAGUAAACAUUGAUAAGUCUAAGCAGAUUGAAUGACAAGGAAAAAAAACUAAUGAUGGAGAUUGAAGGAAAAUAUUACUUACACAAUGCGCUGAGGAUUCCAGAGGAUAGAAUAGGUGUGAAAGUCAGCAGCGGGGUCAAACCAGAGGUGAAAUUGUUGCUCUCUGUCACCUUUGCCAUUUGUAAAGACAUUGGUAUGAAGAGUGUAAGGGUCACCACUUAAAUUUCCCAAGAAUUCAAAGUCUAUCUCAUCCCAUGUUGAUCCCGGUGAUUUUAGCUGCAUUAAAAAAAAAAAAAAACAGAUAUUUAUAUGUAUCAUCACAUAUGAUUAUUCAACUACGACCCAGUUUGCAUGCAUAAUACUUGCGUAUGAUUAAGUUGUAUUAAAAGAAGGAACUUACGUAAUAAGCAGUGACAGUGCCAGCAGAGUUGCCUGGGACAAGCUUGAGCUGCAUGUCAAUCUUGCCGUAUAGAUACUCAUUCUUGGACUGGAAUCCUGAGCCAGAAGCUUUAUCGAGGGAAAGAGUAAGAAGGUCGCCAUUGUUGAGCAUCUUGGCACGGCCAUCUCCCCAGGUGAUGUCAAAAUCUUUGUAGAAGUUACCAGCAGAUGCAACCAUCAAAGAGCCAAGCACAAGAAACAAAUGCAACGUUGAAGCCAUUGACAUAUGCUUGAGCAAACGAGGUACAAGUAGUGUUUGAAUUAACUGAGAGAAGUUUGUAAUUCGAAAGUGGAGCGAUGAAUGUGUUUAAGACCAUUGUGUUGUAUUUAUAGCCGGUGAAGAUGGGAAAUGUAAAAUGCAGAGGAAAGUGAAGGGAAAGGUCCAGUGAGCUCGGCUGUGGACAGUUGUUGGCUUGAAAAAAGUAUAAUAAAAUAGCUGUGCAUAUCGCACUAACAAGCAUUAUCCGACCAGCCAUAUUUUAUUAUAGCACGCGGUUUUUGCAUUAUUUUUGGGACCAAACGACUUCCGUUUAGUUUAGUAUGUGCCGCUGUCGUGGUCCCACUACCAGCUGACUCUUAUUAGAUUUUCCCACCGCCACUACUAAAGACAGUUGAAUUCACAUGAUGCGACCCUCUCUUCAGAUUUUCAGCUUUUUUUAUUAAUUGAUUCUCAAGGCAAGAGCAAAUGAAUAAUAUUAUAAUAAUACUAAGAAUAACAUAGAACUUAUUAAGAAAUUCCAGAAUUGAAAAUUCUCCUCACUAGCAAUUCAGUGUUCACCCAAGUGACAAUUAUGUUAUAUUUAUUCUGUUUGAAUUCUUAAUUUAGUAACUCCAAAAUUAAUCUUUUAUUGUCAUGUAUAUAAUAUUUAUUUUAUUAUUAAUUAUUUGUUAUCAACCUAAUUAAUAAAUGAUACAUAAAAUGUAAUAUUAAGGAGGAGACAAACUAAAUAUCCGAAUUGGGUUGGCAAUAACCGCAUGACAUUACUCAAAUUUUAUGUUACUGGCGUUGUCUAACACGCGAGACGGUGGUGGGUUUCGCUUGCCAUUCACUUGGACCUAACUGUAUGUAAAAUGAAUGUUUGUUUUGAAAAGGGAACUAGGCGGCGCCUUGUCUUCCCUUUCUUUAUAAACAAUUAACAAAUCAAGCAAAACCGCGUCUGGAAAACUUGGUCUGCGCCAUUUUAAUGAACAGUCAUUUGCUACAUUACUUUGCCAACUAUUACCAAAACGUACUGAAGUUUCCCGUGUAUCUUCUCUCCGUUCAACUCUGCCUAAACUUAUAGGAUAAAAACACCAACUAAGCACAACCUUUUCAUCAUUUCAGAUUCUUUUACAUUUCUAAUACUAUUCACAUGCAAAACAUUCCAGUGGCUUGCUUUCUAGUUUCUUCAUAUAUUCCGUCCAUGUUGAUGGUCAGUUUUGUGAUUUUCUCUCUAAUUGUAGCUUCUUCUGCUAACUUCUACCAAGAUUUUGAUAAUACUCGGGGAGAUAGACUUUGAAUUCUUGGGCAAUUUAAGUGGUGACCCUUACACUCUGCACACCAAUGUAUUCACAAAUGGCAAAGGUGACAGAGAGCAACAAUUUCACCUCUGGUUUGACCUUACUGCCGAUUUUCAUACCUAUUCCAUCCUCUGGAAUCCUCAGCGCAUUGUGUAAGUACUGUUUUUUUCCCUGUCGUUAAUUUGCUUAGACUUAUAACUUUUUUCAUUGUAAUUUCCAGCUUCUCUGUUGAUGGCACCCCCAUAAGAGAAUUCAAGAACUCAGAAUCAAUUGGAGUGCCAUUUCUAAAGAAUCAACCAAUGAGGAUGUACUCUUCUCUACGGAAUGCUGAUGACUAGGCUACAAGAGGUGGCCUUAUCAAGACACAAUGGACACAUGCUCCUUUCGCCGCUUCUUAUAGAAACUUCAAUGCUGAUGCAUGUGUCUCGUCUAAUGGAAUAUCUUCUUGUGCUUCAAGUUCACCUUCCUCUCCAUAUAUCCAACGGCUGCUCCUGGUUCUCACAAGAGCUUGAUUCAACAAGUUAAGAAAGGCUGAAAUGGGUACAAAAGACAUACAUGAUUUACAACUACUGCACCGACGCAAAGAGAUUUCCUCAAGGCCUUCCUUUGAAAAGAAAAAAUCUCCUAAAGAAGUGAUUAAAUCAAACAGAUAAAUCAGUGUAAACUUAUUACAUUCAAUUAUAUGCUCUCUGUAGAGCUAUUCUUUGCAGUCUUGGUCAUCAAUAAAAAGACAGAUUUGUCAUUCUUUAUAUCAGAAGUGUUAUAAUACGAAUUUUAUUGGAAAGAUGCAGAUGUGAUUUAUUAUAAAUUCAAUAUACUUAAUGUAAAAAGACUUAAAAGAUUGAGCUUUACUCAUCUAAAGUUCUCACAGACCAUAUCAACGUGAUCCCUUUCUAGCAUAUUCGCAUCUUAAUUCAUAUGAUAACUGAUACAACAUCAAUACUAUUAUUAUAACUUUAUUUUGAUAUUACAACAUAAAGUUUGAGCAUGAAAUAAACUACAUUAUUUACUUUAACUGUAGAAAUCAAAAUUAGAAUAAAUUGUAUUAUCAUUGAUGUGUUUAGUUUGUCUUGAAAUCUUAGUCAUAAUAAAUUAGACUGUCAUAAAUUACUAAAAAGUUUUUAAUUAAUUAUUAUCAUAAUUAUUAUUUUAUAUUUUAAUUAAUGUAAUUAUUGUUAUUCAGAAAUUAUUAUUAUUAAUUAUUGUUAAUAAUAAUAAUAAUAUCAUUAACAUGAAUAUAUUAAUUAUAAUAUUUUUUUAUCAAUAAUAAUGAUAAUAAUACAUUUGAAAAUCAUAAUAACAAUAAUAAUAAUCAAAAUCAUCAUCAUCAACGACAACAACAAAUCAAAAUCGGAUUUGGAUCAUAAUAUCAUCGUCGUUGUCGACAUCAUCAUCGGUGAUGGUUGUUGUUGCUAGAUCGUUGUUGCUAUUGCUCCUGCUCAACGGUCAGCGACGACCAAUGACGUUGAUUUUUGCAGUAACAGUUUGGUGAAGACGAUGAAAAUCGGUGAGGCUUCAAUUUACAGCGACUGUUUGCUGUGGUUUUUUUUUCUAUUUAAAUUUUUUUAAUUGAAUGAAGGUGUUGAUGCUGAAAUCUGCUCGCCUCUUGACCGACCAGAUUCUUUCACCAACGUUUGUGUUAUCUACUGUUGCUCGUUCACUGGGAUUGGAAUCGUCCUCCUUUCUCUCAAUAGACCUGCACUCACUAAAAAUGGAUCAGAGACGCCGGUGGUUUUGCCGGCGUAAACCCUCCGAUGCCUAAGUUAGCACAAGGUGUUUACGGGAAAACAGUGUAAUUUGGAUUCCAGGAGCUUAUUAAAAAUUUGUAAGGAAAUGGCCUAGUUGCAAUUUGGCAGCGUUUUCCCUCUCUCUUUUUUUUUUUCCCCUUUCUUCACCGAUUUCUUCUUCUUUUAUAGCCGCUGUCCCCACGUUUCCGUUUGCCAUUCAUCCCACCUUUUUCGGGUAGUGGCAGCCCCUCAUGGGAUUUUAACUGCUACAUUGUGGGCAAACGUGGGAUCUCGCAUCUCCCACAACGGUUCUGGGAAAAGCGCAACUACCGCGAUUCUGUGGGAUCGUGUUUCCGCUUUUUGAGGGACGGGUACCGACUCGGUAUACGACUCUGGUCGGUAUUCGUCUCUGAUCAGCUCAUGUUACCCCCUGUUCUGCUCGUACCAUUUGGCUGAGGUGAUUCAUGCCGGGGUGGAAAUAGUAGCAUGGCCGACCUGGUGCUUUUAUUUGCUUAACACCAGUCCCCCAGUUUUUGGUCUUGUGAGUGAAAUGAGUCAAGAGUAGAAACUGAUAGUCAAAUCUUACCAAUCCAGGGGCUUCUCCUCUGAUCUUUCGUCUACCGGGAUGGACCUGAGGUAUCAUUUUUCUUCAGGGGAGAUUUUGACCUGAGCAUGGGCCUAAAUGAGUAUGUCCAUUGCGUAUCUGGGCUUGCAUCUAGCCUGGCCUCUUAUAACGAUUGGUGACGUGGCAUCUCCCGACUCUUCGUAUUUGAAAUUUGAAACGACGGGCUAUCUGUCCUUGAUGUACGGUGAGUGAGCUGGCGUCUCUAUCACUUAAAUGCUUUCAUUUCCCCUUUUUCGUUUCAAAUCCCUAGACUUAUAUCUGCAUCGCUUUGUUAUUCAUCUCUUCAUCGUUAACUAACUCCCUCUCUGAACUUUGCUUACACUUCUCGUGUCUGGAGUAUCCACUCGCUGAAUUUUUUCUCUAUCACGGUCGCGCUAUCAGUGCCAGUUCAAUCCAGGUAUUGCCUUUAACUUCUCCUCUGGUUAUUGUUGAUUGGGUUCUGUGUUGCCCUUUUUGUGUCCAUAUACUCGAGUUUUCUUUGUUUUCUUUUGAGGUUCUGAUAUGUCAAACCGAAAAAGAAAGUUAAUUGUUGAUGAGGAUGAUGAAGAAUCAGGGGAUUCAGGCCUCAACGUGUCAAUACCCACCUAUUUCUUAGGUCCCUCCAGUAAUGUAGGUCCUUCCCAUGGCAGGGAUACCCUUGAGUACCCACGCCCCUUGGUUGUCUCUUCCUUUCCCGAACUAGAGCUUGUAGGGAAUAGAGGUGGACUUGCGUCGGGAUCUGGUGAGAACCACAGCUUUGGUGGGGUUGGGAUCCGUGAAGGAGUUGGCGAUGGUGAGGGGAGCAGUUCCGGACCGAGCGGUCUUGCUAAGAAAAGGAAUAUUGGCCAUAGGGUGGAGGCUGAUUUCUACCCUAUUGAUUACAUAGCCUGUGCCACCACCCAAACUGACUUAUUCAAGCUUAGGAACCUCUACGACAUUCCUGAGGAGGUUCUUCUUGUAGUUCCUGGGAAGGGUGACGUUCCUAGUCGGCCUCCACGGGGGUAUGUGACAAUGCACCUAGAGAGUUUCAAACUAGGAGCUCGGCUGCCCCUUCAGCGUUAUUUUUCCAAAAUAUUGGGGGGUAUGCACCUGGCCCCAGAUCAGCUACACCCGAACGGGUGGAGGGUUCUCUCGGCAAUGUUUGUGUUGUGGUAGAGGUGCGGGUCGGAGGAGCCUUCCCUUGUUGAAGUGAAACAUCUGUAUCAGCUGCGGAGCAGCCCAAGGGAGGCGGGCUGGUAUUACUUCAUGUCCAGUUCCGCAAAGAGAAAGCCAAUCACUGGUUUCCCCUCCUCGUGCAAAAAUUGGAAGAACAAAUUCUUCUUUGCUGGGGGAAAGUGGUGUUCAGCACUCCGUUCGUUGGGUGGUGAUAUUUACCUUCCAACGCAGUUUGUCACCCCAGGUCGUUCAUUUUUUGCCUAUAUUCCUUCUCAAACUGUCACUUAUCGAGUUCUUUAACCUCUUUUGCUAUUUCAGAGUCGUGGGGUUUGAUCGGGGGGCUUAAAGAUUGACCUUUGCUUCAGGUGGAAACUGCUCUGUUGAACGCGUCUACCUGCCAAGACCUCCUGUCGCCAACAAACCUGGUCGGUUCGGGCCUAGUAGACAUAGCCGCUGGAAUGGAUAACAAAAUCCUUAGCGCGAUGAGCAGGAAGCGUGGUCGGGCUCCGAGUAGCUCCAACAACCUUCCCCCUCCUCCAAAGAAACCCAGCGUCUGUCUUUCCAAGGCGCCUGUUCCUGCUCUGCCCCCUCCUCCACCUCGUAAGAGUGGUGGGGAGAAAACCUACGACAAGAGUCCUGAGGUCAGCUUGCAAUCUGAGGACCGAUCUUCUCCUCUUCUAUCUCGGGAUCAAGGUGACUACCUGAGCCCAUAUCAGAAGGAUUAUAAAAAAUCGGUUGGGCCCAAGAUGGUGAAGGACAUCGAGAGCAUGAGUCUCUCCGAGUUAGCUGCUUUUAUUCAAAGAGUCUCCUUCAGGUUGUCCACAAUGGUCUCGUGCUACAAGACCGGGUCCGCGCGUCAUGAGAAGAAGCUUCAAGCUGACAAUCAGGAGUUGAAAAAGAAAGCUGAAUCUGCUGACCGCUCCAAGGAGAAACUAGCCGAGCUGAACAAGCAGAUUACAGAGCUGGAGGAGAAAGUUGCAGUUGCUGAGUCUACUGCCUCCAGGUUUGAGGGUGAGUUGGAUGGCCUGAAGUCGGACCUUCAGGUAACUCAAAGUGAAAGAGAUACUUUGAGGACCGCCCUUGAGGGAGAAAUCAAAUCCCUGAAUGAGCAGCUGGCUGAGGAGAAAGGCAAAUCCGCUGAUGUGGACGAUCGGUUGGAUGCCGAGUAUGACUCGGGGGUUGCUUUCUCCUAUAAGUGUAUCAUGUCUGUGCUUCAGGGAGAAUAUCCCGAGCUGGACAUGAGCAAGUUGGAGGCUGGAGUGCAGCGGUAUAUGGCAGAGGUCGGCCAGGCGGACAAUGAGCAGGGUGAGCAGGAUCAGGUGGAGGCUCCUUUGGAUGAGGUGCAAGAGGGGGAAGCUGGGGGACGUCCUUUCGAAGUGGGUCAAGGGUCCAUGCCUCCUCCUCCCGGCAUUGCUGAUCUCCCACCUCCUGAACUGCUGUACGGCCAAGGCGGAUGUACGGUACAGCAGUUUGUAAACAAUUGAACAUUUAUAAAUUUUUAGAUGCUCUUUAUUUGCUUUCUUGUUCGGUUUUUGCUAAUAGAUUGUUUCUGAAAAACAAUUGGAUAACUUAUCUGAUUUUGCCUGCUGGUUCCUUAGCGAACUGAGCAGGAGUAGACAUUUACUUGCCUUAGUAAAAUUUCCAUAAAACUGGUUGCUUGUCUUCAUUGACCGAGCCGAACUAGGCACUUACUUGCCUUAAUAGGAUUUUUUGUAGAAUUAGCUGCUGGUCUUUCGUUGACCGAGCAGAAGUAGGCAUUUACUUGCCUUAGUAGGAUCUUCGUAGAUUUAGCUGCUGGUCUUUCGUUGACCGAGCAGAAGUAGGCAUUUACUUGCCUUAGUAGGAUCUUCGUAGAUUUAGCUGCUGGUCUUUCGUUGACCGAGCAGAAGUAGGCACUUACUUGCCUUAGUAGAAUCUUCGUAAAUUUAGCUGCUGGUCUUUGGUUAACCGAGCAGAAGUAGGCGCUUACUUGCCUUAGUAGAAUCUUCGUAGAUUUAGCUGCUGGUCUUUCGUUGACCGAGCAGAAGUAGGCACUUACUUGCCUUAGUAGAAUCUUGGUAAAUUUAACUACUGGUCUUUCGUUGACCGAGCAGAAGUAGGCACUUACUUGUCUUAGUAAGAUUUUUUGCUUCAAGCUGACAAUCAGGAGUUGAAAAAGAAAGCUGAAUCUGCUGACCGCUCCAAGGAGAAACUAGCCGAGCUGAACAAGCAGAUUACAGAGCUGGAGGAGAAAGUUGCAGUUGCUGAGUCCACUGCCUCCAAGUUUGAGGGUGAGUUGGGUGGCCUGAAGUCGGACCUUCAGGUAACUCAAAGUGAAAGAGAUACUUUGAGGACCGCCCUUGUGGGAGAAAUCAAAUCCCUGAAUGAGCAGCUGGCUGAGGAGAAAGGCAAAUCCGCUGAUGUGGACGAUCGGUUGGAUGCCGAGUAUGACUCGGGGGUCUCCUGGUCCCGUGGCUCGUAUUACUCUAUACGGGCCUUUCCAUUUUGGGCCAAGAGCACCAUGGUUGGGAUCCCUAGUAUUUUGAUUCACCUUCCUAAGUACCCAAUCUCCUGCUCGGAACUGCCUCACGCGUACAUUCUUGUUGUAAUAACGCGUGACCCUUUGCUGACACUGGGCCACUUUCUGUGAGGCCCCUUCCAUUUUCUCCUCAAGUAGGUCCAGGCUUAAGCAGAUCUGCUCGUCAUUUUCUUCCUCAGCGAAAUAUUCCGUUCGAUGUGUCCCCACUCCAAUCUCUGCUGGGACUACUGCCUCAUGACCAAAAGAUAAAGCGAACGGGGUUUCCCCUGUAGCAGUUUUGUGAGUUGUCCGGUAAGCCCACAAUACCCCUGGUAGCUCGUCAACCCAAGCUCAUUUUUUGAUUGCCAACUUGUGGCAAGCUACCCCGCGAUCAAUUCCGGGCAUAUCUUCAUGAGACCAGGCGAAUAUAUCCGCAUGAGACUGUAGGCAAUUUAUCAGUUCGCCUUUUAUUGCCCCAACCAAUCCUGACCCGAUCUUCACUACUCUGCUCGGGUUGCUUUUGCUUACCGCAACUUCCUCCAGUUUCUCAACAGGCUCUUGGCGGCCCUUUUUAGAGUCUCCUCGAUUAUCUAGAGAGGUAACCUGCAGUGUCUCCUUGGCCGCUGUAGCAUAACAACUCCUUGCCAUCCUCUGGUCACCUUUUACUACGCCAACCACCCCAUUUACUCUGUAUUUCAGUGCCAAGUAAUGCGUGGAUACAACGCAUUGGCUUAUCCUCAUGAAUGGUCUCCCCAGUAUCAUCUGGUAAGGGCUUCUUUCCUCUACCACGACAAAAUCCAGCAUCAUUGUUCUUUCAAAUGGUUUUGUCCCUAUAGUAAUUGGGAGUUCGAUGAUCCCCAUGAGAGUUAACCGUCCCCCUCCAAAUCCCUUUAAGGAUGUAUUUGUCCGCUCAAAUUUCAAGUCUGCGAUCCCCAUAUCAUCUAGAGCCAACUUAAACAGGAUGUCAACCGAGCUGCCUGUGUCUACUAGUAUUCGUCGCAAUUCUGUACCGACCACCAUUGCCUUGAUCACCAAUGCAUCCUCAUGCGGAUAUAAGAUACCCUCUUCAUCGUCAUCUGUCCACAUAAUGGGAACUUGCCGCACUUUUGCCUUCUUGGUUGCCGGCAAAUUGAAAAGCACUUCUUUGCUAGUCAGGGCAUAUCUCCCAUAGUUCUUCCGUGCCCUGUUCGAAUCCCCGGCCAAUGUUGGCCCUCCUGCUAUUACACGGAUGGUCGGCUGUUCACAUUCCAAAUCCCUCUCAACCCCUUCAUCCCGUGUAUAUUGUGAUUCCAUGACAAGGGACAUUCCAUCUACAUACUCGUCUGUUGUAAUAACGCGUGACCCUUUGCUGACACUGGGCCACUUUCUGUGAGGCCCCUUCCAUUUUCUCCUCAAGUAGGUCCAGGCUUAAGCAGAUCUGCUCGUCAUUUUCUAUCAGCUGAACUGCUCGGUUAUCAUGAAUGUCACCUCGGGCUGACACAGUCGCUAACUGAUCUGGUCGACUAGCCAUGGAAUUAGUUGCAUGUGAUGCUCUGGGAGUGUUGUGAUAGGGGUGGGCAGCCAUCUGCCGGAAUUCUCUUUGCCGAUCCGGGAAUGGGGGACGCGGAGGUUGAGCCCGGUUGUGCUGGAACUGCUGUGAUCUCAGAGCCAUGGGGUAAGGGCGGGACCGAGCCGAUAUUCCGCCCAUCACUGAAGAUUCUCCAGCUCGUUUUCCCGACCCGCUCCCUGUCGGGACUCUCCGUUCCUUUCGCCUCAGCUCGUCCAGCUGUUCACUUUUUAUUCUUGCCGAUUUCUCCUCUUCGAUUUCUAUAUCUCGCCUCGCCUGCUCAUACCCCGACGAGUAAUUCUGUACAAGGGGGCUUCUUAAGUUAUACCAUAGUCGGCCGAUUCUUACACCUUCUUUUAAUCCCCUCAACGCCUGCGGGUGAUUAAAAGCUCCCAGAUCCAGCACGGCUCGGUGAUAUCUUUUUACAACCAUUUUGGGCCAAGAGCACCAUGGUUGGGAUCCCUAGUAUUUUGAUUCACCUUCCUAAGUACCCAAUCUCCUGCUCGGAACUGCCUCACGCGUACAUUCUUGUUGUAAUAACGCGUGACCCUUUGCUGACACUGGGCCACUUUCUGUGAGGCCCCUUCCAUUUUCUCCUCAAGUAGGUCCAGGCUUAAGCAGAUCUGCUCGUCAUUUUCUUCCUCAGCGAAAUAUUCCGUUCGAUGUGUCCCCACUCCAAUCUCUGCUGGGACUACUGCCUCAUGACCAAAAGAUAAAGCGAACGGGGUUUCCCCUGUAGCAGUUUUGUGAGUUGUCCGGUAAGCCCACAAUACCCCUGGUAGCUCGUCAACCCAAGCUCAUUGCAGAAUCUGCUCUUAUCCCGUCGGUGAGUCGGUUUUGUUAUUGGGGCUGGAGGGUACAGCAAGCUUCGUCCCUCGAUCCUCUCAUACAAUUCCUCCAUGGAGAUCUUUAACGGAGUGUACUGUCUAUACGCCAAGCUCUGGUCUAUCAGCUGAACUGCUCGGUUAUCAUGAAUGUCACCUCGGGCUGACACAGUCGCUAACUGAUCUGGUCGACUAGCCAUGGAAUUAGUUGCAUGUGAUGCUCUGGGAGUGUUGUGAUAGGGGUGGGCAGCCAUCUGCCGGAAUUCUCUUUGCCGAUCCGGGAAUGGGGGACGCGGAGGUUGAGCCCGGUUGUGCUGGAACUGCUGUGAUCUCAGAGCCAUGGGGUAAGGGCGGGACCGAGCCGAUAUUCCGCCCAUCACUGAAGAUUCUCCAGCUCGUUUUCCCGACCCGCUCCCUGUCGGGACUCUCCGUUCCUUUCGCCUCAGCUCGUCCAGCUGUUCACUUUUUAUUCUUGCCGAUUUCUCCUCUUCGAUUUCUAUAUCUCGCCUCGCCUGCUCAUACCCCGACGAGUAAUUCUGUACAAGGGGGCUUCUUAAGUUAUACCACAGUCGGCCGAUUCUUACACCUUCUUUUAAUCCCCUCAACGCCUGCGGGUGAUUAAAAGCUCCCAGAUCCAGCACGGCUCGGUGAUAUCUUUUUACAAAAUCUCGAAGGGAUUCAUGCUCCUCCUGUUUCAUCCCCAUCAGUUCCAUCAUAUCGUCCUCUGGGGCCAUUGCCCCUCGGAACUGCUCGGCCAACUCCUGGCACAUCUGCUCAUACCCUUUUAUACUUCCUCGGGGCAGCUUGCGGUACCAUUCUCGGGCUCGUCCCUCUAAUGUCAACGGGAACACCCUGCACCUCUGAGCUGAUGUCAGCCCCUGCACACCCGUCAUGUCGUUGAAACGCUCAAUGUGCACCAGCGGGACAUUUCGCCCGGAGUAUUUGAGGUCGGGGAAGCGGAAAUCUCUUGGGAUUAUGGUACUCAUGAUCUCAGUUGAUAACAGAGAUUCUUCAUCUAGCAUUAUCCUCCAGGUCGAGGCUUUCUCUUGCCCUGUAUCUCCUCUAUCACCUACGCCAAUCUGCGCACCUCCCCCUCCAAUUCUAAGGCACGGUCAGGAUCACGUGCAGCUAUAUGGUCUCGUUCCAGCUCGGCAUUGUGUAACCGCUAUCUGAGCUCUCCUUCGUCAACACUGGCACCUCGGCCAUUGACUUCCAGGACCUGUCCGGGGCGAGGUUGGUCCCUCCCUUCAUCCACGCGUUCUCCCGGGACCCGACCAGUACUUCUGUGGGGAUGCACCCCAUUAGGUUGGUCUGCGGGCGGAGGGAUUUCCUCGACUCUACGCCUCCGAAGGCUGGGUUCUACUCCAACUUCAUCUCUUCCCACGGGGGUUUCACAAUCCCUUCUCCGCUCAUCCCUCAGCUCGAACAAUAUGGUUGCGAGAGUCUCCAUUUGUUUCUCCAUCCGCUCCAGUCUAUCUUGCAUCAUCUUCUCUCGGGCUUCAUUUGCAAUUUCCCGGAGAGUGACUGUCUCCCCAGCUUCGUUAUCCUCCCUCAAAGCGUCCUUCCUUGUCACAUCCAUGCCUAACCGUUCGCUGUUUUUCCAGUAACUACUAAUUCGGUGGUAGCUUUUUAUCCAGNNNNNNNNNNNNNNNNNNNNNNNNNNNNNNNNNNNNNNNNNNNNNNNNNNNNNNNNNNNNNNNNNNNNNNNNNNNNNNNNNNNNNNNNNNNNNNNNNNNNNNNNNNNNNNNNNNNNNNNNNNNNNNNNNNNNNNNNNNNNNNNNNNNNNNNNNNNNNNNNNNNNNNNNNNNNNNNNNNNNNNNNNNNNNNNNNNNNNNNNNNNNNNNNNNNNNNNNNNNNNNNNNNNNNNNNNNNNNNNNNNNNNNNNNNNNNNNNNNNNNNNNNNNNNNNNNNNNNNNNNNNNNNNNNNNNNNNNNNNNNNNNNNNNNNNNNNNNNNNNNNNNNNNNNNNNNNNNNNNNNNNNNNNNNNNNNNNNNNNNNNNNNNNNNNNNNNNNNNNNNNNNNNNNNNNNNNNNNNNNNNNNNNNNNNNNNNNNNNNNNNNNNNNNNNNNNNNNNNNNNNNNNNNNNNNNNNNNNNNNNNNNNNNNNNNNNNNNNNNNNNNNNNNNNNNNNNNNNNNNNNNNNNNNNNNNNNNNNNNNNNNNNNNNNNNNNNNNNNNNNNNNNNNNNNNNNNNNNNNNNNNGUUGAUAACGGAGAUUCUUCAUCUAGCAUUAUCCUCCAGCUCGGGGGCUUUCUCUUGCCCUGUAUCUUCUCUAUCACCUGUGCCAAUCUGCGCACCUCCUCCUCCAAUUCUACGGCACGAUCAGGAUCACGUGCAGCUAUAUGGUCUCGUUCCAGCUUGGCAUUGUGUAACCGCUGUCUGAGCUCUCCUUCGUCAACACUGGCACCUCGGCCAUUGACUUCCAGGACCUGUCCGGGGCGAGGUUGGUCCCUCCCUUCAUCCACGCGUUCUCCCGGGACCCGACCAGUACUUCUGUGGGGAUGCACCCCAUUAGGUUGGUCUGCGGGCGGAGGGAUUUCCUCUACUCUACGCCUCCGGAGGCUGGGUUCUGCUCCAACUUCAUCUCUUCCCACGGGGGUUUCACAAUCCCUUCUCCGCUCAUCCCUCAGCUCGAACAAUAUGGUUGCGAGAGUCUCCAUUUGUUUCUCCAUCCGCUCCAGUCUAUCUUGCAUCAUCUUCUCUCGGGCUUCAUUUGCAAUUUCCCGGAGAGUGACUGUCUCCCCAGCUUCGUUAUCCUCCCUCAAAGCGUCCUUCCUUGUCACAUCCAUGCCUAACUGUUCGCUGUUUUUCCGGUAACUACUAAUUCGGUGGUAGCUUUUUAUCCAGCUCCCCACAGACGGCGCCAAAAUGUUGAUGCUGAAAUCUGCUCGCCUCUUGACCGACCAGAUUCUUUCACCAACGUUUGUGUUAUCUACUGUUGCUUGUUCACUAGGAUUGGAAUCGUCCUUCUUUCUCUCAAUAGACCUGCACUCACUAAAAAUGGAUCAGAGACGCCGGUGGUUUUACCGGCGUAAACCCUCCGAUGCCUAAGUUAGCACAAGGUGUUUACAGGAAAACAGUGUAAUUUGGAUUCCAGGAGCUUAUUAAAAAUUUGUAAGGAAAUGGCCUAGUUGCAAUUUGGCAGCGUUUUCCCUCUCUCUCUUUUUUUCCCCUUUCUUCACCGAUUUCUUCUUCUUUUAUAGCCGUUGUCCCCACGUUUCCGUUUGCCAUUCAUCUCACCUUUUUCGGGUAGUGGCAGCCCCUUAUGGGAUUUUAACUGCUACAUUGUGGGCAAACGUGGGAUCUCGCAUCUCCCACAACGGUUCUGGGAAAAGCGCAACUACCGCGAUUCUGUGGGAUCGUAUUUCCGCUUUUUGGGGGACGGGUACCGGCUCGGUAUACAACUCUGGUCGGUAUUCGUCUCUGAUCAGCUCAUGUUACCCCCUGUUCUGCUCGUACCAUUUGGCUGAGGUGAUUCAUGCCGGGGUGGAAAUAGUAGCAUGGCCGACCUGGUGCUUUUAUUUGCUUAACAGAAGGUAUUUUCAGAAUGUUAAAAUUUCAAUGGGAACAGAUUUUUUAUUCCCAAAAAUCGAUCGUUGAGAAUUAGUCUCGCAUUUUCAUGCUUAUUUUAGUCUUUCAUUUUGAUGCUUAUUUUGUAAAGUAAAUGCUAUUAAUAAUUUCGAUUCUCCAAUCAAGAAAGUAAACAUAAGUAAACAUCGCAGUAAUGUAUAACUAUAGCAAAUUUAUGAUAUAAAGUAUUGUCAUUAUAUAUAUGUUUAUACUCGCGCGGAAUCUACGUAAGCACUCGUGGCCACAGCACACUCAAGAGGAAGCCCUUUUGGGAAGCGCUUUGUGUCUGUACAAUAAUUAUAAAUCAUGUAAUUCUUCUGCACCCACUUGAGUUUCUCUCGGCUUGUUUCAUCAAGCUCAUCGAUCUUCAUCCAUGCAGAGGAUGAAGAAUUCGAAGGGCAAGGCGCAGAAAUGAUUGGACCUGCUGGGUAACGAAUGCAAGUUUUGGCAUUAAAGUUUCUACAAGAAGCUGUAAAUGGAGCUUUUGUCCAAUCUGUUUUGACAAGACCGCCUCUUGUUGCCCAGUCAUCAGCGUUCCAGAGACUCGAGUGUAUUCUCAUUGGUUGGUUUUUUGGGUAAGGAAUGUUGAUUGACUCCAAGUUCUUGAACUCUCUAAUCGGUGUGCCAUCGACAUAGAAUCUGAAAACGUUUUUAAACAAAAAUGUUAGAGAGCCUUUUUAACCCAAAAGAGCCCAAAGAAUAUAUGAAGUAUUAAACCAAAAAAAAGAGACACGUCUAAUAAAAAAAAGAAGAGGAUUAAUUAGUGACUUGAAUUGUUGCUUGUUUUCAACAAGAGAUGAUUAGUGGAUUGAAAUUCUUACACGAUGGUUUUGGGAUUCCAGAGAAUGGAAUAUGUGUGAAAAUCUGAAGUGGGAUCAAACCAGGGAUAAAAUUGCUGCUCUCUGUCACCUUUGCCUUGUGUGAUUACAUUUGUGUGAAAAAUAUAAGGAUCGCCACUGAGAUUUCCCAAGAACUCAAAGUCUAUCUCAUCCCAUGUUGAUCCUUGUGAUGACAACUAUAACACAGAAUUAAAAAUAAGCUUACUCUUAAAGAGAAAAACAUUUUCGUGCAAGAUCACUGGCAGCUUACGCCUUACAUAGUAAGAUGUGACAGUGCCAGCAGAGUUGCCUGGGACAAGCUUGAAUUGCAUGUCAAUUUUGCCAAAUAGAUACUCAUUCUUGGACUGGAAACCUGAGCCUGUGUCUUUGCCAAGGUAAAGAUUGAGGACUUCUCCAUCGUUGCGAAUCCUGACCUUGUCAAUUCCCCAUAUGAUGUCAAAAUCUUGAUAAAAAUUACUAGCUGGUAAAACUAACACAAAAGAGUUAGAUAAUAAAGCAGACAGCAUUAUCAGCACUACUAGUGAUUUAGCCGCAGCCAUUGUGCGAUAUUUAAAAUUUUGUUAUAGUUUUGGAUUUUUAUAGAGACGAAAAGAAAGAAGCGAUUUGCCAUUUGGAAAAAGAAAAAUGAAAAUUUUAAGAGAUAAGAUAGAUGAUGGGGAAGAGUUAGAGUCAAGGAUUAGGCUAGCACUUGUGGGGCAAAGAGCAAGAGCGGGAAACAGAUGGCAAAGACUGAAAUUAGUGAAAAGAAACUGCGAAAAUGCGGAUUUAUGCAUGUCACACAAGUGACAGCCCUAAGCAUGGUUUAUUAACACGUUGAAAUUUUGGCUGAUGGGUGCUUUUUGACCACUCUAUAUAGUUUCCGCAUCUACUGACCGGCUGGGCUCAGCCCUAUGUGAUUAGGAUGACUUUGGAGCAGUUUCCGUACUUAGAAUAGUCCCAAAAUAUGCUUAAGAAAAUGAGCAGGGUGUUCAAAAUCUAAUUCAAUUGGCUUAAUCCCAAAAUUAAUAGUCCCAAAAUUUGACUUUUAUAAUCGCCGAGAGUAAAAAUGAUUAUCUUAAGAUUUCAACAAGUCUUAAUAUAUUUUUCUUCACUUUUCUUUCUAGUAAUCAUGACAAUACAAAAAUUGUAACUAAAAAAGAAGAAUUAUGUACUUGGUCAUGAUUCAUGAGGAGACAUAAUGAAUCUUAUAAAAUGAAACCUUUGACUUCAAUUGGAUCUUGAGUCGCACAACCACUCUAGCUUUAUACAUAUUGUGUCUAGAUAUAAUAAAGUUCAAUGGUGCUCGUCGUUAAUUACUGUUAAAUGAUAAUAAAGUUUUAGCAAGAUGAUAUGAAUAUAAAGAGCAAAACAAUUUCGGAAUAUUUUGAGCUGUCAUAUUUACAUAAUUAACUUAACAGCUAAUAUGUUUAUCAAACAUUUACACAGUAAUAAUUAAUAUUAAUAACUUUUGUAACAACUCAAUCCCAAACUUGCCUCUUUUUAAUGUUUUGAAAUUAAACUUUACCUUUAAAUGUGUUGACAGAUAUUGACUCCUCCAAAUUAGCUCCAUCAACUGAAAUUCACCGCCACGUUUCCCCGACAUCUUAGGCGCCAGCAUCAUUUACACGUGGCAAAAAGAUAACUUUACACUUAUUUGAUAAACACAAAAGUAAAACUUCAAUUAAUCAAAUUAGAAAUAAUAGCUACCUGAUGUCCCAAAAUAUUUGUAUGAAGUCACAUAAAUCUUAUCACAACGAACAAAGUAGCUAGCUAUCACUUCUAUUUGGUCCAUUUUUCAUCUGCAUCAUUUUCCUACGUCCUGCAUGAAGGACCAAAAACAGAAGGAGCAGCUGGGGGAUGAAGGGAAAAACCCUAAUGGUCAAAACCCUUGUGGAGAAAACCCUAAUGGAGAAAGCCCUAAAAAGCAAAAUGAUGAUGCUUCACUUGUACGGCAUCCUGUGAAGAGUACUGGUCAUCAUCUGAUCGCUGAUGAUUCUUAUUUUGAUUCAUUCCCGCCUGGUUACCGAUUCAAACCCCACGAUGGAGAACUUGUGGUUUAUUACUUGCGGAGGAAGAUACUGAAUCAGCCAUUGCCUCCAAACCAGAUCAAGGUGGUGGAGUUGUAUAGGUUUAAUCCUAACACACUUACAGGUUAGGGGAAAAAAAAGUCACUUUUAAUUUCUUAUUUUCUCAAUUUCUGUGUUGUAUGUUGUUUUAUUGGCACGCAUCAUAUAUGAUUAAUUUUUUUUAUAAAAAAAUCUGUUUAUUCCUUAUUUCUCGAGAUUAUUAUUUAUUAGAAUGGAAAUUUUCUGAGUCUCGUUAGUGGCUUCUCUACUCUUUAUUAUUCAAAUUUUGUAGUCUUCGCUUGGGAUAUUUGUGGCUUCUCUACUCUUUUUCACGAUAGAUGUUUAUGCCAUUACAUAUAUAAUAUUACAGUGUAUAUUUUAAUGUGAUGCGAUUUUACAUCAGGUAUGAUUUUAGAUUUAGAUGGUGUUGUAAAUCAGCAUAUAAAAUUUAAUCCCCUCAUAUUGAAAACGUUUAUAAUAUGUUAUUUCUUUCGUAUUAGUUUGUCUACAUUUUUUUUGUUUCAUGAUAUCUUUAUGAAAUUUCUUUUAUUCUGUCCACUGAUGCAAUGAUUUACAGAAAGGUACAAGUCACUUGGUGAAAUGGAAUGUUAUUUCCUUACACCAAGAGAUAGAAAAUAUCGAAAUGGUCUAAGACCCAAUCGAGCUGCUGCAGAUGGGUACUGGAAGGCCACAGGAGCUGAUAAACCUGUUAAGCACAAUGGCAGUUUGGUUGGAUUCAAGAAGGCAUUGGUCUUCUACAAGGGAAAAGCUCCAAAGGGUGAUAAGACUAACUGGAUCAUGCAUGAAUACAUAGUGAAUAAUCCACCACAGAAACAAAAAGGCCGAAAUGAUAUGAGGGUAAAUGAUUUUCCUUGUUGUCCAAAUUCAUUUUUAUUUGAUUCUUUUUUUUGGUUUUAUUCGACUAAUUUCUGCUUCAUACAAGUCCCUUGCAGUUAGAUGACUGGGUUCUCUGUAGGAUCUAUAAGAAAACAAAGCAGUCAGCCAAAGCUUCUACUCGAAAACGAGAGGAUUCAGAGGAGGAUCAACAAUCAAGAAGCGAAGUUGCAACUCAAUCUCAAGAUAGUGGACAAACUUCAGUUGAUGAAAAGGCUAAAAUGCUGCCCAAAACAGAAAAUUUCAAGCCUGAAGGCCUUGGAAUCUUUGAUGUGCCUGAUUACUACAACCAGGGAAGAUUCUUCAGCGCAUAUGAUAAUGUCCUUUUAUCUUGUCAGAGUCCAUAUGCUAAUUUUCAGGAUGGUCAUCAGGGUAAUUCUCAGAAUUGGCUUCCUUUAAUCCCUCAGUCGGGGUUUCAGCAAAUGCUCCAUCAUAAUCCUACGUGGGAGAGCCCUAUGAAGCCUGAACAGUUCGGAUAUCCGCCCGAUGAUGUGUUUAGUGAUCUCCCUUCGGAAGACAAUUGUUUUGAUCCUCUACCUCAUAAUUUUACGAACUUAUAACUCUUUUCAUUUUGUGAUUCGAUUAGUUAAUGGUAGCUGACAUUAAUUGGCAUUUAUAAUAAGUUAGUUAGAGUGUACUUUAGUAGAGGUCGGUUUUCUUGAACUCAAUUUUUCUUGCAAUUCUGUGUACUUUGAUUGUUAUUUAUAUGAAUGUCAGCAGCAUGGAUAUUCAAGGAGAGUUGCUAUUUCUAUGGGUGGUAUGCUAAGGCUCCAUUUGCUUUAGCUUUUUGGUACUAAUUCUGUUACCAUUAUCAAAAUAUUUAAAAUAUUUGUAACUCAACUUUGACAGUACAACUGAUUAUUUCUCACAGUUUUCAGUUGUAACGCUCUUUGAACAAGAUUUUCUAAUCACUAAAAUUAUAUACAUAGUUUCCUAGAAUACCAAAUUAUUUACGUGACGAUCAUAUUCUUUGUUUGCCUCAAAGCUUGAGUUGUUUCUUUUAUCUCUCUUAAUUCCAAUUCAAGAGCUGUUUUCAGAAUUUUUUUUCCUUAAAUCCCAAUAGAAAAAAUGUAACGGAACAAUUUGUUAUGAAUGUAAUAAGCCAUAUAUAUCACAAAAAGGAGCAUAAACUGCACGGCUACUAUAUAUUGUUGAAGCUCUAUGAUUUUUAAAUUCUUUAUGAACGAUGUACCUCCGAUGUACUUUUAUUUUUUCUUCUUUUUGUCAUUUUGAGAUAAAUUUUUCUCCUCGAUCUCUUUAGAUGUUCAUAACUAAAUAUUCUUUAAGAUAGAGCGCAAUGUUUUAUCCCUACCACCACAACCCUAUCAUAAAGGAGACUAAAAAUUUGAGUUGGAGAAACAAGAAACUCAAUUCAAUCUAUAGAAAUUAUGAAGCCGUGUGAUAUGAUGAACUAACGGAGCUGCAGAAUGGCCUUUGAAAGUAAUGUUAAAAGCUUAAAACCUUUUUGAGUUUCCUUUAGCAAAUGUCAUAUGCAUUUUCUCUGAUCAAUGCACGAGAAAAUAUAACUUAGAGAUUGUUUAUCAAACGUUAGAAGUUUGUUAUUUGUUUUUGUGAUUUAUGUCUGAUUUUUAGAUAUUUACAUUUGAAUGGAAAAAAUAAAUUUUUAUAUCUUUUAUUUGAAUGGAAAAGGUUUGCAUGAAAAAUAAAUAUUAUAUUCCAAAAAUAUCUGUAUAAAAUAGUUUAUUUCCUCAACUAUAAGAUCUAAUCCUUUUUUGUUUUAAUUUAUGAGGAUAUAAUUAUCAAAGAAUCAAGUUUAAAACCUUUUUUUUUUGUUAUAAAAACAAAUAAGAUGUCAUUUAUACUCAUAUAUUAAAAAAAAAAAAGAAAUCUAAACGUUUCAUUCAAUUUUUUUUUAUUUAAAUCCAUUCAAACUUCUGAAAAAUUCAGAUUCAUUCUAAUUUCAGACUUUAAAAAAAAAUGUUAUCUUACUACAAACUAAAUUCCAAACUUAAUAAAUUAAUAUCAGAUCCCAGCCACAAUUCGCAUAUGAAAUGUUUGAGAACGAAGUUGUGAGAAAAUGCAGUCAGAAUCGACUGCCAUCAAUUAACAAGUUCCUUGGGAGGAAACAUGUUCAAUUUCUUUUUCUUUUUCUUUUUUUCCAAAAUUUUAAUGUGGAAAAUUAAUUCGGAUGCCGGGGUUAGUCCAACCACAGCACUCAUACUGGGCCGUGCGAGUUAAUUUUUGGGCCAAGUUCUUAACAUAUUUACUCAAUAUUUUGGAUGACAAAAUUGCCCAUAAACGCCCUGCAAGGACAUAACUGCAGAAAACAGGCUGGAGUAAAGUAUGCGACUAUGCGGUAACAAAACUUUCGGGACGCCUGCGUUAAUGACUUUUUGUUACUGCCACAAAGCAGUCACAAAAAGGUCAUUUGUGACUGCGGAGUGAUCACAUAAAACUCCUCCUCCUUGUAGUGCCACCUGCAAAAUAAUCCAUACUAGACCUCCUAAUUCUUCAUUUUCAUCCCUAUUAUUAAGUUAACUCGAUUGAAAUAUAUAUUUAUGAAAUUACAUGCACCAACUAUUUAUCGAGAAUUACAUUAAAUUAUGUAUAUAGCUAAUGUAAGAUCAAUUUGGAGAACUAAAAAUAUGUUAAUAAAAAUAGAAAACCGGGUUAUAUCGUUUGUCCCUCUUGUUCAUGUAUCGAUUUUUUUUUUUUAAAUUCCGCGGAACUACUGCAGCUACAGUGCUGGAAAGGAGCAAAUAUGUCGGAUUAUGCUAAGGAUUGCAUUAAAUGAACAAGAAGCUAUCCUAUAUUCUCUCAUUUUGCUAAAAGAUAAGGCAGUGAAAUAACUUCUAUUCUACUUCUACUUUGAAGAAUUUUACUGCUUCUCAAUCAACUACAUCAGCAGAAACUAUCAUAUUUCGCCACAUCAGCUUCAAUGACAGCUACUAAAGCACACAUUCUGGAAUCAUUGAACUCAAUCAUAACCAUCAAAUCAUUGACCACCGAUAGAUUGGCAUCUUAACUGAAUCCAAAGGAUAAAUCGCCUUCCGAAAACCGUUUGAUAAACCGAUCAGUUAGAAAAAGUAUCUACUUUAUUUAAUGUUAUAUAAUCCAAAUAAAUUAGUAUAAAAUAAGCCCCUAAUAGGAUUCUAGGGUUUUGAUUAGAGAAUUAAGAGAGAAUAGAUGAAGAAGUUAAAGAGAAGGGAGAAGAAUUAAUAGGAAUUAAAAUUAAUUUUAUUACUUGCGUCCUAAAAACAUAAUAAGAACCACUUACUUAUAGUAGUUCAAGACAAUCCUAAUUGUAAUUUAAUAAGGACUUUAAUUGAAAUAAGAAAAGCUAAUACUAAUAGGAAAGAAAUUAAAACAAGCAAUUAAAAUAAAAUAAACUAUUAGGGCCCUAACAGCCCCCAUGCAUCUGAUCACAACAAAUAUUCUUGAUGUAUCUGAUCACAACAAAUAUUCUUGUGAGGUCAAUUUUAUAGGGAAAGCAGCGUCUCCUUCAAGUUUCGGUAAAAGUUAUCAAUGCCGGACCAGCAGCAGGGAGAUAAGGACCAAGACCCUAACGGCCAAGACCGCAAUGGUAAAAACCCUAAUGGCCAAGGCCCUAAAGGAAAAAGGCCUAUAGAUCAUACUCGUGAUGCUUCACCACCUGUGCGGAAUCGGAUGAAUGCUGCUAAGGGUCCUGAGUUCGAUGAUAACUUUCCUCCUGGUUACAGGUUCAAGCCUCACGACAUAGAGCUUCUAGUUCAUUACUUGCGGAGGAAGAGAAUGAAUGAACCUUUGCCACCAAAUCGGAUUAAGGAAGUUCACUUGUACAAAUUUAAUCCUGAUACACUUUCAGGUUAAAAAUACCCACCACCCCAUUUCUCUUUUUUGUUUCUUUUGUUUUUUUGCAAUUGCCUUGCUGGUAUUUUUCUUUAAAUUAAGUAAUGCACUUACGCAUAUUAAGUUCUUUCUUUUUCUUGAGUUCAUUUGGUUAUUAAUUAGAGUGUAACUUCUUGAGUUUCUUGAAAUGGUUUAGUUUCUUGAGUUAGAAGUGUUUCCUUUGCGUUCGUUAUACAUAUAGUCUCAUAAUUUGAUUUGUUUUCGUACUUUGGUAAUGCUCUUAGCGCUUUUCUUGAGUUCAUUUGUAAUUGGAGUGGGCAUUUCUUGAGUUUCUUGAAAUAAAAUGGUCUGCUCUUCAGUUUCUUGAGUUAAAAGUUACUUCUUUGCGUUGUUGAAUGCUGAUUUAAUUUUCUACAUAUGGUCUCGUAGUUUGGUGCUUGUAUGUAUCCAAAACAAAGACUAUAAAUAUUUAUGUUGAUAUUAUUCCGUAUUCCAUAUAAUGGAAUCAGGAAGUGUAGAUCUUUUUUUUUUUUUUGGGUGAUUGAUACAAUGAUGAUUCUGUAUUAAUAAUGCACAGAAAAGUAUAAGCCGUUUGGUGAGAAUGAAUGGUACUUUUUUACUCCAAGAGAGAGAAAGUACAAAAACGGGACAAGACCCAAUAGAGCUGCUGGAGAUGGAUUCUGGAAGGCAACUGGAGCUGACAAACCUAUCAAAAACGACGACGUUGUCGUUGGAUUCAAGAAGGCAUUGGUCUUCUACAUGGGAAAACCCCCAAGGGGAGAUAAAACUGAAUGGAUAAUGCAUGAAUUUAGAUUGGAGGGUCCUCCAAGGACCAGAAUCAGUGGAGAUGACAUGAGGGUAACUAAAUUUUGUAGCUUCUUUCUGUGUCAUAUGUGAUGUGUUGCAGCAAUUUUACAAUGUUGGUUUGCUGAUGAGUUUUGCUUUUAUAUAUUAUGUUGAUUGCAGUUAGAUGAUUGGGUACUGUGUAAGAUAUAUAAGAAAAGGGACCAGGAUAGAUCUAAGCUGUCGUCUUCAAGACCUUCAACUUCGCAACGGGAUGAUUCAAUUUCAGGCCAAGAUGAUCCACAAUCAGACACUGAAUUUCAGGAUAAUGGAGCCAUUGAUAUGGGAGUUGAAGACUCUGCUACGCUGCCCAAUGAAACUUUCAUGCCUCACGGUCCUGAAGGUCCUCGAAUCAUUGAUAUGUCUGGUUUCUACAAUCAGGGAGGAUUUCUCAAUUCAUAUGAUGAUACUUUCAUUUAUCAUCAGAGCCACUUUGUUAAUCACAAUGUCCCAUAUUCUCAAGGCAGGGUUCCUGAAAUGCCUAAUUACUAUGUUCCAUAUGCUCAAGGCAGGGUCACUGGAAUGCCUAAUCACAAUGUUCCCUAUUCUCAAGGAAGGCUCCCUCGAUUGGCUAAUCACAAUGUUUCAGAUUCUCAAGGAAGGUUCCCUGGAAUGACAAAUCAAAAUGUUUCAGUUUCAGUUUCUCAGGGGAGGUUCCCUACAAUUGCUCCUUAUUCGUAUAACAAUUCUAUGGGGCAGAGCUCUCCAUGGACUCAACAUAUAAUGAUUCCGACUGCUAAUCAGAAUCCUAAUGAAGCUGCCGAAUCAUCAGCAGCAGCAAGGGGAAGACCUUUCCAGGCAUAUCCUCAUCAACAUAUGUUUGCUACUUCAAAUCGGAAUCCUAAUCAACCUGCAGAAAUAUCAUCAUCAGCAGCAGCAAGACCUUUCCAGACAUAUCCUCAUCAUCAUAUGUUUGCUACUUCUAAUCAAGUGGCAGAAUCAUCAUCAGCUGCAGCAGCAAGACCAUUUCAAGGUUUGGAGAGCGAUAUGAAAUUUGAACAGUUAAAUGAAUGUCCCCCGGAUGAUUUUUUGAAGGACCCUUCUGACGACAAUUGCUUUGAUCCGGAUUAUCAUAACUCCCGGAAAUUCUAACUCUGCCAUUUUUUUAUCCUUCGAUGAUCGAUGAUGACUGGCUUUGACAGAUUUGUUGAUUGAAAACGUAGUCAUAGUUACUACUAACUUUGUGCUUGACGUGAACAUUUCCAUAGAUUUUUCUCUAGGACGAUUAAUGGAUUAUUUUCUUAGAGGACUCUAUCUUCUAUUUUAGUUGUGGACCCAAUUUCUCUCACUUUGCAAGUGCCUCAUGUUGAUAGAUUUUAAAUUUGUCUUGAUUGCCAUGCAAAUUUUUAAAUAAGGUGGAUGUGGCUAUCCUUUUAUAAAUCACACUGAUUCAUAAAUAUUAUUCCCGCUUCCUAUGUCAUUAAAAGUAUAGAUUUUUGGUUUGUUAUAAUAUAUGACAUGGGGAACCCGGCUGAAACUUUUUUGGUUCAAUUACAAUGGUUACGCGUUGCCCAUUUGGUUACUUUAUAUUUUGUUGACAUAGGGUUACAAGCUUCUGGCAGCUGCUGUUUCUUCUGGAUAUAUAUAAUGCUAUUACAUUUUCCAUGGGGUAUGCCCUAUUUUUUCAGCCUUAAAAACUUUCAUGGUCUCCCUCGAUGUUUUCAGAAUCCUAAGAGGGAAGUGGGGAAAUCUAAUGCUACAAUAUAGUAAAUCCAAAACCAUUUCUCUUUGAUCUGGCAACUUCUGGGUGUCCACUAGAACAUACUAGAAAACAAAUUUUCAUGGAAGUGGCAUCGCAUUAUUUGUCGGUGGAUAUGCCAAAUGCUCAGGAGUAGGUGGAAAUAACCUAGGAAGCAAGUAGCAACUAUGCUCAUCUCUCCUGUAAAAUAAUGCCCGCAAGCAAUUUGACUGGCUUAAAGUUAUGACAAAGAUGCCCAUUUUCAAUGUGCACUUGUUUUUGCUAUCCAGCUGUUCAGUUCUCAACUCACCCCACCAACCAACUAUACAUUUCAAUAUUUGGCGAACAUUCGAUGCACUAACCAGCAGCUCCAAUAAAUAGCCUGGAACUCAGUAUUCUCAAGUGUGUCAAACUAAGUUGCAUAACGUUCCCGAAGUCAAUGCCUUGCUAUUCUUAUUCUUCUUAUCCAAUUUUCUUGUUCUCUUUUAUUGUCACAAGCUCUUUCAUUGUUGCAAAUGCUGGUAAUUUUAACAAAGAUGUUGAUAUUACAUGGGGUGAUGGACGUGCCAAGAUUCUCAACAAAGGCAAGCUUCUUACUCUGUCUCUCGACAAAGCAUCUGGCUCUGGCUUCCAGUCUAAGAAUGAAUUUUUCUAUGGAAAAUUUGAUAUGCAGCUCAAGCUUGUUCCCAACAACUCUGCUGGCACUGUCACUGCCUACUAUGUAAGCUCCUUAAUGAAAGAUUCUUUUUCCCUUUCACAUAUAAUUUGUUUGUCAGUCGUCACAUCAUUAUGUUGAUACGUAGACUUGCUAUGGUGCAGCUAAAAUCUCCAGGGGCAUCAUGGGAUGAAAUAGACUUCGAAUUCCUGGGGAAUUUGAGUGGCAACCCUUACAUUGUUCACACAAAUGUCUACACACAAGGAUAAGGUGACAGAGAGCAACAAUUCUACCUCUGGUUUGAUCCCACUGCCGAUUUUCACACUUAUUCAAUCCUCUGGAAUCCAGGUCACAUUGUGUUAGUACAUACACAACCCUGAUGUGAGCGAAAUUCGAAUCCUGGAUUUAAUUUUAUCAAGCUCGCAUUAACUUUUUAUUACAUUUUCUUUUUGUUCAGCUUCUAUAUCGAUGGCAGACCCAUCAGAGAAUUCAAGAAUCUCGAAUCAUUCGGCAUUCCGUAUCCCAAAAAACAAUCAAUGAGAAUGUAUGCUAGCCUGUGGAAUGCCGAUGACUGGGCUACAAGAGGGGGCCUGGCGAAAACAGACUGGUCUCAGGCUCCCUUCACUGCUUCCUUCGGAAACUUCAAUGCAAAAGCUUGUGUUUUGUCCAUCGGAAUAUCUUCUUGCAGCUCGAAUCCCGCAACUAAAAAUACAUGGUUUUCACAGGAGCUCGACUCUUCAAGCCAAAGGAAGCUAAAAUGGGUGCAGCAAAAUUACAUGGUUUACAAUUAUUGCGCAGACACAAGUUGGUUCCCUCAGUGCCUCCCCCAAGAAUGCACCAACAAAAAUUAGGACGAUGAAUCUUUUCUAAUCCAUUCAGUGUUUGGAAAUUCGUAUUUCAAUUAUAUUUUUAUUCUUUCUUCUACUUUUCUCAAUAGGGUUUCUUGAUUGCCAUCAAUCAUAUAACAUAAGAAUAUCGCUUCCCACUUGAUGCAUCUAAAUAAUAGUAAUAAAUGAUGUAGGAUGGUUUCAUCAAAAUUCAUUUUUCUUUUUAUUUUUUCAUUUUGGACUUCGGUUGGCAUCCUCAUCAUUAGAUAAUUAUUCUACAAAGUAAUAUAAUAUAUUAUUUACCCUUAUUAUAUAUGCCAAUUAUCAAGAAGAAAUGGGUAGGUAUUGAUAUUAAGGACUCAUCAGGUCCCUGCUAGGCCCAAAUGAAAUUAGUUCAAGAAUCAUGAACCUUGCAGGCCGAGCUCUAAUGGGCCAUUUAUGAUUUGCAUAAGUAUCCCAAACUUCUUCCAAAGAUAACUGCAAAAAAUUUAACAAAGUUGAUUGUUUUCCUCAAAUCGAACAAUAUUCAGAUUUUGUUCAGUGUUCAAUUACCCUAAGAAUUUUCUUUCCUAACUCAUGCAGAGCAAUCCAUAAUCUCAUUUCGCCAUGGCUUUUAUCCAAGUCACAUGUAGCCGCCCAUGCAUGGGGAGAUUGUAUAUUACAUUGAAAAUUUAUACCGUUAUGAUACUGCUCACAGGAAACAUGUCACCAAGUGUUAAGAAAGACGAGUUAUAUAAUACGUAAUUAACUAAUCACUGAACCCAAAGCAUGCGCCAACAAUGUCCUAAUUUGCCUCAACGACUUGUUUAUUAAGGCAAAGCCGGCCAGGGUCUUUUGAGAAAGCUUCAGCCAAGAUGCUGGAAGAGAGUGCUAGAGAGUGUUAAAGUGUAAUUUCCUUUACAAUAUGUUUGAACUGACACUUUGAAUGUCUUGAAAUUAAUACCAAUUUUUUUUGGGAUACUGCAUGUUAUAAUCAUUCUCAGGUGUGGACGCCGUAUUUUUUUUAAUACGGAUACACUUUUAUACUGUGUUGUUUAAAAGAUUUAGUUUUUAAAUGAACUGUAAAAUCGUAGGGCUUAAGUGAGUUAAAAGUUAAUUUUCUUAAAUUCUACGGUUUUAAAGUAUAUUCGCAUGAAAAUAAAAUAAGGAUGUCCACACUAUAAAAAGACUACUGCAUGUUAUAAGAAAGGUUAAAAAAAUUUUAUGAAUCAAUUUGUGGGUUGCAUGAACAGACUUCGUACUCAACUGUCAUUAUUCUUUGGACCUACAUUCUGGUUUCUCUCCUUUUUUUGUUUAAAUAAAGAAUCAAAUCUCUUUAUCUCGGCUUACUGUUGCAAGAAAAUUAAAAAGUACAAACCAAGAGAACGAAUACAAUACAACAUAAUCUGUUCCCCAACCCUCGAGGUAAUUAAUGGAAAGUGGGCAACAAUGUAUUUGACAGCAUUUCAAUAGAAGGAUGAUAUUCUGGUUUAUUUUCAAGGAUAGAUUGUGUUCGAGUAACAAUGUUUUAGAUGAUAUAUCACCAGCUGGCCUUUUGUAUCGUAGUCAUCUAAUGGACCCCCGUUCCUUGACCUGAUCCUGUUCACAAGUACGACAAUGACUAACCGACCGUCUGUCAAAUGCUUGAAAGAAUUUGACGCGGGAUUGAGCCCCAAGGACUGUGGUGGUGGAAUCGGCAGAAGCAAAAGUACAACCUAAACCCGUAUCUACAUAGAUAUGUGCGAGUACCGGAUAAUCAUGAUCGCAAUUCAAGAUCAAGUGGGUAUGCAUGCAGGCACCGAACCCCAUUUGGAAUUUGGGGCCAUGUCAUAUAAUCUGUCUGCAAAUGAGAAACAGCCAAAUUUGCCUCUCUUUCAAUUCAUGGCACAGCCAGCUGUUGACAACUUUGCACUCUCAGAAACGGCAAACAUGAAACAACCAUCCAAACGCACCCUCUUCUUCACUCUUCUUUUGUCCAUUUCUAUACUCCAAUCCCCUAUAUAAUAUUACAUUACAUCCAUGCAAAACUAGUAAUAAUUUAUGCACUAUUCAGUAUAGCGAGCUCCAGAUCCCAAAAUCCUGAAAGAUAUGGGUUCUGAUUCGUUUGGGGUGAUGAUGUGUACUUUUGUUGGGCGUUUAGCUGCUGUUUCUGCUGGUAAUUUCAAUGAGGAAUUUGAUAUCACAUGGGGAGAUGGUCAUGGGAAAAUAUUCAACAACGGCCAACUGCUUACUCUCAAUCUCGACCAUUACUCUGGCUCAGGCUUCCAGUCCAAGAAACAAUACUUAUUCGGCAAGAUUGAUAUGCAACUCAAGCUUGUCCCUCGCAACUCUGCUGGCACUGUCACUGCUUAUUAUGUACGCUUUUCUUUUUAUCAACACCUGCUGUUUUCAUUGAUUUCUUUGUAAUGAUGCUAAUUAAUAUUAAUUAUGAGAGUCUUUGAUGUUGUAGCUACGCUCACAAGGACCAACAUGGGAUGAGAUAGACUUUGUAUUCUUGGGAAACCUCAGUGGUCAUCCGUACACAGUUCACACAAAUGUGUACAGCCAAGGCAAGGGUGACAGAGAGCAGCAAUUUCAUCUCUGGUUUGACCCCACAGUCAACUUUCACACUUAUUCAGUUCUCUGGAAUCCUCAACGCAUUGUGUAAAGUCCAUUUCUCUCUUAUUAGUAUGUCAUUCGCUUCUACAAUUUUAUUGACUUGUGUUGUUCAAUUAAUUGCAUUAUUUCAGCUUCUCUGUUGAUGGUAUUCCAAUUAGAGAGUUCAGAAACCUGGAGGCUAUAGGCGUUCCAUUACCAAAGAAUCAGCCAAUGAGAAUAUACUCAUCUCUUUGGAAUGCUGAUGACUGGGCUACAAGAGGUGGGCUAAUCAAGACGGAUUGGAGCCAAGCUCCUUUCACUGCUUCUUACAGAAAUUUCAAGGUUGAUGGUAGCCGUGCCUGGCUCUUGCAACAAAUGGAUUCCACAAACCAACGGAGGCUUUACUGGGUGCGGAAGAAUCACAUGAUUUACAAUUACUGCACUGACACCAAGCGAUUUCCCCAGGGCUUUCCCAAAGAAUGCGCUGUCCAUUAAAGCUGGCUGUUCCAAAAACUUUAGCGCCUAGGUACAGGAGCUGUCUUGUAUAACAUAACAUUAAAUGAUAAAAUGUAAGCUAAUUAGUAGUGAGGGAUGCCUUUAGCACUAUCCGAAUUAGGUAGUCGGCUGGUUUUGUAUUUUGAAUAGCUAUUUAUUAACAUAAUAAUAAUAUUUAUUUUAAGAUUCUAAUUUUUUAAAGUUGCGUAUAUAUUGAAGGAAAAUUUAAUUUUUAGGAAUCUCCCUAUUAUUAUUCUCAUUCAUAAUUAUCUCUAUAUUUAAUAAUCUUUACUUUAAAAAUAAUUUUUUUUAUAAAAAUGUGAUAUUUAUGGUAUAAUAAUUAUUCUAAGCCUUUGAAACUUUAUUUGGUUAAUAAUUACAAGAAAAAAAUUCAACGUUUUCCCUUUCCCAAAAAUAACUACUCUAUUAAAAUUAUAAAUGUUAGAUUUUAAAACAUCUAGUAUUCUAUUCAUUCUAUUUCAAACUUCAAAACUAAUAGAUAUUGAAUCAAUGAUACUCACCCAAAAAAAAUUUCUCUCAUAUCUACUCGGAAUAUUAUUCUAAUCUUCCCUAUAAACUUCAUUGCCAGCAUCUAACAUUUGACUAUCAUAUUCAUCUCAACUAAUCAACCUUUUACGUGCUAUCGUUCUAAUUUUCUAUUUUAAUUUAUUAUUAUUAUUUUUUAAAUUUAUUAUAUUUUUUUAUUUGUUGCAUUAAUAUAUGACUUGAAUCAGUUAUGAAGUUUGUGAUUUGUAUAGCAUAAAUGUUGAUAAUUGACAAAUUUAACAAACAUGGUGAGCUUAGUUAAUGUUCUUUUAGAAAUAAAUAUAUAUCUUUUCAUUUAUUAUUAUUAUCUGCUGUACCGUACAUCUCUGGUUUGACCCCACAGUCAACUUUCACACUUAUUCAGUUCUCUGGAAUCCUCAACGCAUUGUGUAAAGUCCAUUUCUCUCUUAUUAGUAUGUCAUUCGCUUCUACAAUUUUAUUGACUUGUGUUGUUCAAUUAAUUGCAUUAUUUCAGCUUCUCUGUUGAUGGUAUUCCAAUUAGAGAGUUCAGAAACCUGGAGGCUAUAGGCGUUCCAUUACCAAAGAAUCAGCCAAUGAGAAUAUACUCAUCUCUUUGGAAUGCUGAUGACUGGGCUACAAGAGGUGGGCUAAUCAAGACGGAUUGGAGCCAAGCUCCUUUCACUGCUUCUUACAGAAAUUUCAAGGUUGAUGGUAGCCGUGCCUGGCUCUUGCAACAAAUGGAUUCCACAAACCAACGGAGGCUUUACUGGGUGCGGAAGAAUCACAUGAUUUACAAUUACUGCACUGACACCAAGCGAUUUCCCCAGGGCUUUCCCAAAGAAUGCGCUGUCCAUUAAAGCUGGCUGUUCCAAAAACUUUAGCGCCUAGGUACAGGAGCUGUCUUGUAUAACAUAACAUUAAAUGAUAAAAUGUAAGCUAAUUAGUAGUGAGGGAUGCCUUUAGCACUAUCCGAAUUAGGUAGUCGGCUGGUUUUGUAUUUUGAAUAGCUAUUUAUUAACAUAAUAAUAAUAUUUAUUUUAAGAUUCUAAUUUUUUAAAGUUGCGUAUAUAUUGAAGGAAAAUUUAAUUUUUAGGAAUCUCCCUAUUAUUAUUCUCAUUCAUAAUUAUCUCUAUAUUUAAUAAUCUUUACUUUAAAAAUAAUUUUUUUUAUAAAAAUGUGAUAUUUAUGGUAUAAUAAUUAUUCUAAGCCUUUGAAACUUUAUUUGGUUAAUAAUUACAAGAAAAAAAUUCAACGUUUUCCCUUUCCCAAAAAUAACUACUCUAUUAAAAUUAUAAAUGUUAGAUUUUAAAACAUCUAGUAUUCUAUUCAUUCUAUUUCAAACUUCAAAACUAAUAGAUAUUGAAUCAAUGAUACUCACCCAAAAAAAAUUUCUCUCAUAUCUACUCGGAAUAUUAUUCUAAUCUUCCCUAUAAACUUCAUUGCCAGCAUCUAACAUUUGACUAUCAUAUUCAUCUCAACUAAUCAACCUUUUACGUGCUAUCGUUCUAAUUUUCUAUUUUAAUUUAUUAUUAUUAUUUUUUAAAUUUAUUAUAUUUUUUUAUUUGUUGCAUUAAUAUAUGACUUGAAUCAGUUAUGAAGUUUGUGAUUUGUAUAGCAUAAAUGUUGAUAAUUGACAAAUUUAACAAACAUGGUGAGCUUAGUUAAUGUUCUUUUAGAAAUAAAUAUAUAUCUUUUCAUUUAUUAUUAUUAUUAUUAUUUGAUCUUUUUGGUAAUUGUUGAAAUUCACCAAAAAUGUAAAAUCUGGGGACGUCGGACGUCCAUACUGUAUGUUCUAUUUACAUCCAAGUCCCUUUAUGUUAUUAUUAUUAUUAUUUGAUUGAGAAAACCAAAGGUUGCAAUUAUUAGGUGUAUUAACCGUUCACGCCCCCAAUCAAGAAGAUGCUCAAUCCCAAAAUGCCAUAAAGCUUGGAUCCUAAAUUUGUGAACAUGCAUGAAUACUACAUGAAAGAAUCAAAGAUGAAUAUAAGAAUUAAAUAACUGGAUACAAUUGUGAUUGUAUUUGUUCUUGAUUUAUCUUUUUAUUGUCAUGUUACUGUUGGGUGUACUAUUUUAACAGGACAUUAAAAAAAAAAUCUCGGAGUGGGUGUCGGUGAAUUUUAAUCGUUUGCUUGCAAGAUGUUUGAUAAAAGUCCCAAAUGAGAGAAGUCGUUUUAAUGGCAAUAGAAUAUUUUGCUAGUCCUUACCCGUUAAGUCAGUCAAAAAUUUAGAGUACCAUUGCAUAUGUGAAGAGGUUUGGUCGUUUCUACGUUAAAACCUAGCCAAAGAAGAACAUAUAGCAAGCAUGCGAAGAGUAGAGAACAUAAUCUCAUGAUAUUUAUAUGCUAAAUUUUGUAUUACAUUGAGAAAGUUGGACUAAUUUGCCAUUUUAUUGACGACAAAAUACAACAAAGAAUCAAAGAAUUGACAAAAAGAAUAAAUUUUUUUGAUGUAUGUGUUGAUUUUGCAAAACUUCUAAGAGGUUCUGCAUUCUGCAGGGAGUCCCUGGGGAAAUCUCUUUGCAUCAGCGCAAUAAUUGUAAAUCAUGUAAUUCUUCUGCACCCAUUUCAGCCUUUCUUGACUUGUUGAAUCAAGCUCUUGUGAGAACCAGGCACUGCUGCUGGAUGGAGAGGAAGGUGAACUUGAAGCGCAAGAAGAUUUUCCAUUAGACCAGACACAGGCAUCAGCGUUGAAGUUUCUGUAGGAAGCCGUGAAGGGAGCAUGCGUCCAAUCUGUCUUGACAAGGCCACCUCUUGUAGCCCAGUCAUCAGCAUUCCAGAGAGAUGAGUAUAUUCUCAUUGGCUGAUUCUUUGGGAAUGCAACUCCAAUUGACUCUGAGUUCUUGAACUCUCUUAUGGGAGUACCAUCCACAGAGAAGCUGAAAAUUAAGUAAACAUUGAUAAGUCUAAGCAGAUUGAAUGACAAGGAAAGAAGAAAUGAUGGAGAUUGAAGGAAAAUAUUGCUUACACAAUGCGCUGAGGAUUCCAGAGGAUAGAAUAGGUGUGAAAGUCAGCAGUGGGGUCAAACCAGAGGUGAAAUUGUUGUUCUUUGUCACCUUUGCCAUUUGUGAAUACAUUGGUAUGCAGAGUGUAAGGGUCACCACUUAAAUUCCCCAAGAACUCGAAGUCUAUCUCAUCCCAUGUUGAUCCUGGCGAUUUUAACUGCGUGAACAAAAAGUCAAAGGUCUAUAUGUCAGAUACAUGAUGAUCAAACAUGCAUAUUGUUUAUUCAUAUAAAGGCAGGAACUUACAUAAUAAGCAGUGACAGUGCCGGCAGAGUUGCCAGGGACUAGUUUGAGUUGCAUAUCAAUCUUGCCGAAUAGAUACUCAUUCUUGGACUGGAAGCCGGAGCCAGAGGCU